CCUCCAUUUCAGGCAGGGACCGGGCACACAGUCCUGUUCUCUGUGAAGGAAAGGGCUCAGGCCCUCUCUGCAUCAUGUCUUCAGUGCUGGCAAUUUCUUGUUCUCCAGUCCUGUCCUCAAACUCCAGGUCACGA